UACGUAGGUGGCAAGCGUUGUCCGGAUUUAUUGGGCUUAAAGGGUGCGUAGGUGGUCUAUUAAGUCAGUUGUGAAAUACGGCAGCUCAACUGUCGAGGUGCAAUUGAUACUGAUGGACUUGAGUACUGAUGAGGUAAGCGGAAUGGACGGUGUAGCGGUGAAAUGCUUAGAUAUCGUCCAGAACACCGAUAGCGAAGGCAGCUUACUAAGGAGUAACUGACGCUGAGGCACGAAAGUGUGGGGAUCAAACAGG
rnacentral:rRNA from 1 species